rnacentral:miRNA from 1 species
GCAGAGUGCAAACCAUUUUGAC